rnacentral:rRNA from 1 species
GUGGGGAAUUUUGGACAAUGGGCGAAAGCCUGAUCCAGCAAUGCCGCGUGCAGGAUGAAGGCCCUCGGGUUGUAAACUGCUUUUGUACGAAACGAAAAGCCUGGGGCUAAUAUCCCCGGGUCAUGACGGUACCGUAAGAAUAAGCACCGGCUAACUACGUGCCAGCAGCCGCGGUAAUACGUAGGGUGCAAGCGUUAAUCGGAAUUACUGGGCGUAAAGCGUGCGCAGGCGGUUUUGUAAGACAGUGGUGAAAUCCCCGGGCUCAACCUGGGAACUGCCAUUGUGACUGCAAGGCUAGAGUGCGGCAGAGGGGGAUGGAAUUCCGCGUGUAGCAGUGAAAUGCGUAGAUAUGCGGAGGAACACCGAUGGCGAAGGCAAUCCCCUGGGCCUGCACUGACGCUCAUGCACGAAAGCGUGGGGAGCAAACAGGAUUAGAUACCCUGGUAGUCC